rnacentral:tRNA from 1 species
GAGGGUAUAGCUCAGUGGUAGAGCAUGUGCUUAGCAUGCAUGAGGCCCUGGGUUCAAUCCUCAGUACCUCCA